GGAGUCUGGGCCGUGUCUCAGUCCCAAUGUGGCCGUUCAACCUCUCAGUCCGGCUACCGAUCGUCGCCUUGGUGGGCCGUUACCCCACCAACUAGCUAAUCGGACGCGAGCCCAUCUCUCAGCGAUAAAUCUUUGGUAUAUCGAUCAUGCGGUCAAUAUACUUCAUGCGGUAUUAGUACUCUUUUCAAAGUAUUAUUCCCCACUGAAAGGCAGGUUGCUCACGCGUUACUCACCCGUCCGCCACUAAGUUAUUAAGAGCAAGCUCUCAAUAACUCCGUUCGACUUGCAUGUGUUAGGCAUGCCGCCAGCGUUCGUC
rnacentral:rRNA from 1 species